rnacentral:rRNA from 1 species
UACGUAGGGGGCUAGCGUUGUCCGGAAUCAUUGGGCGUAAAGAGCGUGUAGGCGGCCCGGUAAGUCCGCUGUGAAAGUCGGGGGCUCAACCCUCGAAUGCCGGUGGAUACUGUCGGGCUAGAGUGCGGAAGAGGCGAGUGGAAUUCCUGGUGUAGCGGUGAAAUGCGCAGAUAUCAGGAGGAACACCCGUAGCGAAGGCGGCACUCUGGGCCGGUACUGACGCUGAGGAGCGAAAGCGUGGGGAGCAAACAGG